rnacentral:rRNA from 1 species
GACGAACCGUGCGAACGUUGUCCGGAAUCAUUGGGCGUAAAGCGCGCGUAGGCGGCCCGGUAAGUCCGUUGUAAAAGUCGAAGGCUCAACCUUCGAAAGCCGAUGGAUACUGCCGGGCUAGAGUACGGAAGAGGCGAGUAGAAUUCCUGGUGUAGCGGUGGAAUGCGCAGAUAUCAGGAGGAAUACCCAUAGCGAAGGCAGCUCGCUGGGACGUUACUGACGCUGAGGCGCGAAAGCGUGGGGAGCGAACAGG